AGUGAACGCUGGCGGUAGGCCUAACACAUGCAAGUCGAACGGCAGCACAGUAAGAGCUUGCUCUUACGGGUGGCGAGUGGCGGACGGGUGAGGAAUACAUCGGAAUCUACUUUUUCGUGGGGGAUAACGUAGGGAAACUUACGCUAAUACCGCAUACGACCUACGGGUGAAAGCAGGGGAUCUUCGGACCUUGCGCGAUUGAAUGAGCCGAUGUCGGAUUAGCUAGUUGGCGGGGUAAAGGCCCACCAAGGCGACGAUCCGUAGCUGGUCUGAGAGGAUGAUCAGCCACACUGGAACUGAGACGCGGUCCAGACUCCUACGGGAGGCAGCAGUGGGGAAUAUUGGACAAUGGGCGCAGGCCUGAUCCAGCCAUACCGCGUGGGUGAAGAAGGCCUUCGGGUUGUAAAGCCCUUUUGUUGGGAAAGAAAAGCAGCAGGUUAAUACCCCGCUGUUCUGACGGUACCCAAAGAAUAAGCACCGGCUAACUUCGUG
rnacentral:rRNA from 1 species